rnacentral:rRNA from 1 species
UGAGAUGGCCUCUCGCCCUAUUCAGUGUAACAGCUGUGGUAGUGGGUUUGGUCGCUCGCAUUUAAAUUGGAAGGGUAAUGGUGGACCGCACUUCUCCCUUAGUAGGACGUUGCGACCUGUCAAAUAAUAUCCUAAGUAUUUGGCUAAUUUGUCUGUUUUUAGGCAGUACUGAAAGGUAUUUCCUUUAACAGUUUUAGCCGUUUACAUACUGGAUAUAAUUGACAGUAACGAAUCAUGGUGUUGAGCCACUUACUUUGUAAGUGUCCUUUAUGGCUGUUUGCAAGUGGGUUGGUUAAUUAGUUUUAGUCGGAUUUUGGUCCGUCUAACUAUUCCGCCUACUGUUGGUAAACUGUUCCUUGGACAGUGCUUAUAACACCGGUCGGCAGCGAUUCAGGUUCAGGCUCUUAUCCGACCCGUCUUGAAACACGGACCAAGGAGUUUAGCGUGUACGCAAGUCAUUGGGUGUAUAAAACCCAAAGGCGCAUG